rnacentral:rRNA from 1 species
GACGGAGGAUGCAAGCGUUAUCCGGAAUGAUUGGGCGUAAAGCGUCUGCAGGUGGCAGUUCAAGUCUGCUGUCAAAGACCGGGGCUUAACUUCGGAAAGGCAGUGGAAACUGAACAGCUAGAGUAUGGUAGGGGCAGAGGGAAUUCCUGGUGUAGCGGUGAAAUGCGUAGAGAUCAGGAAGAACAUCGGUGGCGAAGGCGCUCUGCUGGACCAUAACUGACACUCAGGGACGAAAGCUAGGGAGCGAAUGGG